UACGUAGGGGGCUAGCGUUGUCCGGAAUCAUUGGGCGUAAAGAGCGUGUAGGCGGUCCGGUAAGUCCGCUGUGAAAGUCGGGGGCUCAACCCUCGAAUGCCGGUGGAUACUGUCGGGCUAGAGUGCGGAAGAGGCGAGUGGAAUUCCUGGUGUAGCGGUGGAAUGCGCAGAUAUCAGGAGGAACACCCGUAGCGAAGGCGGCACUCUGGGCCGGAACUGACGCUGAGGAGCGAAAGCGUGGGGAGCGAACAGG
rnacentral:rRNA from 1 species